rnacentral:rRNA from 1 species
UACGUAGGCAGCAAGCGUUGUUCGGAGUUACUGGGCGUAAAGGGUGCGUAGGCGGCUUUUUAAGUUUGGUGUGAAAUCUCCCGGCUCAACUGGGAGGGUGCGCCGAAUACUGAGAGGCUAGAGUGUGGGAGAGGAAAGUGGAAUUCCUGGUGUAGCGGUGAAAUGCGUAGAUAUCAGGAAGAACACCCGUGGCGAAGGCGGCUCUCUGGGACGGUACUGACGCUGAGACGCGAAAGCGUGGGGAGCGAACAGG